AUUGAACGCUGGCGGCCUGUUUUACACAUGCAAGUCGAACGGCAGCACAGGGAGCUUGCUCCCGGGUGGCGAGUGGCGAACGGGUGAGUAAUACAUCGGAACGUGUCCUUUUGUGGGGGAUAACUACUCGAAAGAGUAGCUAAUACCGCAUAAUACCUGAGGGUGAAAGCGGGGGACUUUAGGGCCUCGCGCAGUUGGAGCGGCCGAUGACUGAUUAGCUAGUUGGUGGGGUAAAGGCCUACCAAGGCGACGAUCAGUAGCUGGUCUGAGAGGACGACCAGCCACAUUGGGACUGAGACACGGCCCAAACUCCUACGGGAGGCAGCAGUGGGGAAUUUUGGACAAUGGGGGCAACCCUGAUCCAGCCAUGCCGCGUGCAGGAUGAAGGCCUUCGGGUUGUAAACUGCUUUUGUUAGGAACGAAACGGUGGAUGUUAAUACCAUCUACUAAUGACGGUACCUAAAGAAUAAGCACCGGCUAACUACGUGCCAGCAGCCGCGGUAAUACGUAGGGUGCAAGCGUUAAUCGGAAUUACUGGGCGUAAAGCGUGCGCAGGCGGCUUGGUAAGACAGGUGUGAAAUCCCCGAGCUCAACUUGGGAAUAGCACUUGUGACUGUCAGGCUAGAGUAUGUCAGAGGGAGGUGGAAUUCCAAGUGUAGCAGUGAAAUGCGUAGAUAUUUGGAAGAACACCGAUGGCGAAGG
rnacentral:rRNA from 1 species